rnacentral:lncRNA from 1 species
GUAUCGGUUCCAGCAGGGCCUGGUGAAGAAGCGCCGAGGCUGGGAGUAGGGGCCUCAGUUGAUGGAGACGGUGGGCUGGAGGCCGAAGGUGAUAGCGCUGGAGACUUAGCUUUGGUCUUGCUAGGGGCCGGAGCUGGAACCGUGGCAGGAGGAGAAGCCAAAGGAGCUGGUGGUGGGGUAGCUGGAGGAGGAGUAGCAGGAGGGGGAGAAGCAGGUGGUGGGGUAGCCUGAGGUGGAGAAGCCGGUGGGGGAGUUGCGGGAGGUGGGGUAGCUGGGGGAGGAGUAGCCGGUGGAGGAGAAGCUGGUGGUGGGGAGCUAACGGGCGGGGGAGUCGCUGGAGGAGGAGUGGAAACUGGUGGUGGAGAAGCUGUCACUGGAGGUGGUGAUGAUGUAGGAGGAGGAGUGGAAGCUGGUGGCGGAGAAGUAGUUGUGGGUGUUGGAGGUGGUUGGGUAGUAGGCGGAGGUGUGGAAGCGGGUGGGGUCGGCGGCACCGGCGUGGAUGUCGGAGGAUUACUAGGAGUAGGAGGAGCUUGGCCUAAAGCGCCAGCUACAGCAAUGCAAAACAAAGCUGAUAAGAACAAAAACUUGUUAUUAAGCAUCAUGUUGGAAACAAUGGUGACCCUUUAAUCCUGCACACCCUCUCCGCUUAAACUACGCCCAGCCGCGCAAGCAAAAGAGGGAGAAGAAUAGCAAGUAUGAGAAAUGAAAAGAUGGUGAUAUUUAUAUAGAGGAUAUGGAAAUUUCUAUAUCAUAUUUCAAUUUUAAAUCCCAAAAACAAAUAAUUUAAUAACAUUUUUAUUUUAUUACUAAUGGGAAAAUUAUAUUACUAAUCCUAUGCAAUUUUCUAUUUUAAUUUAGUGUAAUUUAACUCUUUCGUUGUGUUAUUAAUAGGUUCAAAAUUGAUAUUCGAUCGUACAAGCAGAGAUGUAGAAAUGAAUCAAUUUUGUUAAAUAAGCAAUAAAUCUCAAUCUUAGUCAAAUGCUUAAAGCUGUUAUAAAAAAAAAUCACGUCACCAUUUUAACAUUAAUAAGUAUCAAAUUAUAUAGAAGUAAAGGAUUAAAUCUCUAAUUUCAAUUUAGUAAAGGGACUAAACUGGAAUUAAAGGGUUAGAGUUUUUUCCUCGUUUGGUGAGGUAAAAUAAAAACCCUAGUGGGGCAUCACUUUGAUGAUUAUAAAUGAUGCGUUAGUUAGUCAUACUUUAGGUAAAAAACUGUAGGUGAGAUUAGUGUAGAUUGAAAUAUUUUAGUGAAAGGUUAAUUUAUACCUUAAAAAUUUUGCAAUAUUUGGUAGUUCCAUGAAAUGAUUCCCACUAUCAUCAACUUUUCAAUCAUUCAAAUAGGUUUUAAUUUGUUUUGUUGUGAAAUUUUUAAGGAGUCAGGUCCGGUUGUUAUAAAAUUUUAGGUUUGAAUUUGACUUGAAAAAUAGGUUUAAAAUUUUACUUAAACCCAGUCUAGAUAAAAAUAUUAAACUCAAGUCUGGACGUAUUAAACUUUUUAUAUUAUUAUUUAUAUAAAAACAAAUUUAAAAAAUAUAAUACAUCAAAUACACUAAAAAUAUUAAAAUAGAUGUUUCCCAACAAAUUGAAAAUACAUUAAAAAAGUUUUUAUACUUAGCAAGCAAAUGCCUCUAAAAUAGUAGCAAAAUUAACAAUAAAAGAGUUAUAUAAUAUCCAAACAAUAACAGCAAAAUAGUAGUAAUAUAAUAGCAAAAUGGCAACAAAAUAACAGUAGAAAAAAAAAUUUAGGCAAAUUCGGGCUGAGCUGUGUCAAGCCCAGGUAAAAAAAGAUCUUACCCGAGGUCGGCCCUUUUAGAAAAUGAGCCUUAUUUUAUUGUCGAAACUCAUUUUCUAGACCUAUAUUUUUCCCAAAUCCUCCCACUUAUGGGGCGAUAUUUAGGGCUUGGGCAGGUGGCUCGGCGCAUGAUUAGGUCUAACGAUGGAUUCUUUUGUUAGUAAUGUUUAUUUUGGUGUUUGAGUUUUUUGUGUCUUAAUUUGGUACCUAAUUUUGGCUUUAAUUUUUUUUCCAAUUAAGCACUUAAGUUUGGCUUCAAUGUUCAAAUUGGUACCUAAUUUUUUUUUGUCCAAAUUAAUUACCUAUAUUUUGUUUACCAAAGCACGUGUGUCAAACAUUCAUUGGGUCAUAUGAUGACAUUUGGCUUAGGUAUCAAAUGAAUAUCAAAUCCGAACUUGAGUACCAAAUUGAAACAAAAAACACAAAUACCAACUAAGUAUUGAAGCUAAUCUCAAAUAUGGAAUGGUAUGUUAGCCCAUUUGUAAACAAAAUUUCAAGGAAGACUUAAAAUUUAGCAUCUACUAAGCUUUCAGUUUCCCUUUUGUAUGUUACAAUUGAUGUUUGUUUAACGCAUAAACUUGGUAUCUUUUUUCCCGUAAUGAUAUUUAAGCUUUUUUUUAUACUUGAUAUCCAAACUUUCAUUCUGUCACACCAUUUUGAGCAAUUUUUGUACAACUAUAUUAAAAUCUGUAGUUUGGUUAUCUUCAACAUUAAGGAUUUCUACGACAUACUUUUUGCGCAUUCCUCCCAUGACAUUAAGAAGUAGGGAGGCGAAAGUGGUGGUGCUAAAAGGAUCAGUUUAUCUAAUUAAGUGGAGAGUUGAAAAGGGAAAUAAAUUAGGAAGGAGUAGGGGACUCACACAUCCAUAACAUAUGCAUAUGUUAAGAUUAAAAAUUUACACAACCCAAUUGCAAAUGGUGAGACUUGGACUUGGAUACUCAAGGAUCCAAGAUCUCGCCUUAACCAACAAUGUUAAGAUCUCAUUGACUCUUUUGGAGUUUUUUCAAAUUCAGGAUUAAAAAUUAUGAUAUAACUCAAUAUAAUAUUAAAGAGUAAAAAUUAAUCAAAAUUUACAUAUAUCACUCAUUUAAUCAUGUGUACAGAUAAAAGGAAACCACUCGUCCUCUUGCCAACCCUACGUGUAACAUAAUUCACUAUAAAUUCCAUUUACCAACAUAUACAUACAUACAUAAAUAUAAAAGAGAACUUCAUUGGUCUUGGACUGGAUUGGCUACAAACUUUGACAAAAGGCAUGUGUAGGAGGAUUAAAUUCGAUGAAUUGCAUGAUAGUUUCUCCUUUUUGAUAAUUUAGUACAUGAGAGAAUAAUGAUGAUUGUGGGGGGGGGGUGCUCCAUCGAAAUAGCUGGAAUUUAUUUAUUUUAGUGAACUGGCAAAUGUAAUUUGUACGCCAAGUUAUAAGGUGAAAAAGGGAGAAAUCAUAUAGAUUUGGUUGGUAAUGGUAUGUUGAUGUUGAAGCACCUGCGGUGCAACGCCACAAUUAGUAGGCCCCUACCCCCGCUGUCACCCCAUCAUAUGUGCUUUUGGAUGGAUCCAACAUUUUCGUGUUCUUUCCUUCUUCAACAUCAUCAUUAUUAAUUAGUUACUCUUCAAUUUCUAUAUGUAAUUUGCUUUCUUUUCAUUCAUAGGUUUUCUGUUUUUCUUUCUUUGAUUUUGUCUUGUGCACAACUGACGUCCUCCAUUAUUUUUCCCCUGACGUCCUCCAUUAUUUUUCCCCUUUUGUAUAAUUGGGUUUGUGACUUCAAUAGUCUCCGUUUGUAUGGAAAUUAUUUUAUGGAUUUUUUCAUCAUAUCAUUUACGAUAUAUUUUUAGUUAUUUAAUGAUAUUUUAGUAAUUUUUUAUACCAUUGAUACAUAAAUUUGUUAAUUUUUUUACCCAGAACCUUUAAUCUCGAACUUAGAACCCCGAACUCCGAAUCUUGAACCUUGAACCCCAAACUUAAACCUUGAAUCUUGAAACCCUCAAGGUUCAGGUUUGAGGUUCGAGUUCGGGUUCAAAGUUUGUAGUUCAGGGUUUGAGGUUUGAAAUUUAAGGUCUGGGUUUAGGGUCAAGGUUCAAGGUUCAGGAUUUUGGGUUUGAGGUUCGAGAUAAAAAAAAUUAUCAAAAUUAUAUGUCAAUGAAAUGAAAAAAAUUACUGAAAUGUCAUUAAAUAAUAGGAAAGAGACCAUGGAUGAUGUGGUGGGAAUGGUCCAAAAAUAAUUUCUCAUUUGUAUGGGGUAUUGUUCCUUAUCUAUUAUAAUUUGGUAUCUCUAUUUUUAUAAUAUUAUUAGUAAAUCCAAAUUUAUAACGAUGUUGAUUGCUUCAAUAAAAUGAUAAGGUGGAUUUUUAUAGGAAGAAAGUUAUUUGAGUUUAUUCGAAGUUAUAAUUUAUAAUUGUAUUACCAAUUAUUAAAAAUAAAUAACUUAACUCAAACUAAGUCAUCAGAAUAAAUUUGAUUGUGGGAUUUGAAUUUGAGCGCUCCUUAGGCUUCAUUAGCUUAUUUGGGCUCUAUUUACUAAAAGAAAAUUAUCAACAAAAAAAUUCAUGACGAGCCAUUAAUAAUUUUAUUAAUUUGAACUAAUCAAGUCGCUGAUCGAUUUAUCGAGAUAACUUUAGAGAAGAGUUUAGUUAUAUAAGUGUAUGAAAGACAUCCUGAAAGAAUUAGCAGUUGUUAUUGAGAUUGAUAAAGGAGUAAUUUAUUCCAUUAUGAUAGAUUGAUAUAAUUUAAUUGUGUUUUUUUAUUUAUUUAUUUUAAAAAGAGUAGAAGGACGUAGUAAAGGAAUUUUCAUGCAUCAAUAAUUUAUAAUUUAAACUAUGAAAUUUCAAAAAAGAAGAAAUUCAUGUUGAAAUUGAUACUAUCAAGCAAUUUAGAAGUGUAAAAUUUUCAAUAUCAGCUGGAUAUUUAAUGUCAAAUAAACUAAAGAAAUGAGAAAGACAAGCCAAUUGUCCACAAUGAUUAACUUGUUCCUAAAAAGAAAGUUGUACAUUGACUUUGCUUAUAAAUCAAUCCAAUUUUUUUUAUAUAAAAGGAAACAAUUACAUACUUAUAUUGAGUUAUUUGUACCACAACCCAUUUAAUUAUUAUUUUAAUUAUCGAUUGAGUCUUAGUUCAGUUGGUAUUGACAUUAUUAUCGGUGUAGGAGGAAUGGGUUCAAGUGUGCUGAAACGCAUUAUCCUCCUAUUUAAAUGUUGGGAAGGGACUAUAUGAUCGAGAGUAGAUGUGAUAAGAACCUAUAAUAAGAUUAAUGUAAUGCCCCCUCGUUCCUUUAAAUGCUACUUGAAACAUACUUAAUUAUUAUUUACUAAAAUAUUGACAAAUCUGUAAUUUGAAUCUAGAUUCUUAUCAUAUCGGCUCUUUUUGGUACAAUGCUUACAACUAUCCAUAGCCCCUCCCCAAUCAUUAAAUAGGAGGAUAAUACACUUCAACGCAUUCGAAUCCACAUCCUCUUGUACUGACAACAAUGUUAAUCAAUACAAUUCUAAAUACGAGUGUACUACUUAGAUAAUCAUAUCCAAGGUACACAUAGUUUUAAAAUUUGAUCCACACAUUUAAAUAGACCCCACCUCUGAUCUUAUCUAGGAUUUAUCACCGAAGCUGACGGUUAGACAAACAAAACAACUUGAUUGAUAUAAUAUUGAUAUUUUACAGACUCAAUCGUAAUGUUUUAUAGUUCGAGAUGAACGUAGAAUCGUGGCCAUAAUUAUGGAGGUUUGGCUGAAUUGACUCUAUUUCUAAAUAUAUCAUGGUAGACAUUCAAUAUUAAAAAAAAGAUAAAGGGAUAAUAUAAUAACCCAAAACACCAAAUUUUGGUUGGUUUAAUUUGCAGCUUUAACCAAUGCUUUUGCUUGAUCCAUCAAUUAGUGAGGAUUUCGAUCUAAAUUAGAGGGUCCCAUUCGGUUAUUAAGCUCUUUUUCCCCCCUCGUGAUUGCCAUAACAUGGGCCCUUACCCUUUUAACUUUGCUUUGGUUUGGUUUGAUUUAAGGUUUAUUCAUAAAUUGUCCCUUAAACUAUACCUCAAUUUUUAGAUUGGUCCUUAAAGUUUUUUCUAUCAAGAGUGGUCCCCACACUAUCAAAUCUAUCUCAUUUUACCCAAAAAGCUUACGACAUCCAAUAAAAAUAUUUAAAAUGUGACACGUGUUACAUUCUUAUUGGUUAAUAUCAUUUUUUGGGUAAACUAAAAUAAAAUGAACAGUUUAAUGAUCACUUUUGAUCAAAUAAAAAAGUUUUAAGGACUACUCUAGGAAUUGAGAUAUAACUUAGGGGUUAUUUUGUUAAUAAAGCUUUGAUUUAAUUCAAUAGAGAAAUCAUUAACACUGAAAGAGUUUUCUUUAAUUUACUCAAAUGGUCUUUUUGUUUGUGUCACCUAACAUUUUGAAGAACAUCCUUUCUCUGUGUACCUCAUACAAUUCGUUAAUACGAAAAUUUUAUGAUUUUUUUAAAAUAAAUUUAAUUGUCACUUUGCAUGUUACAAAUACUUUUAAAUAAGGACUUUUUUCAUAUGAGAAUACCUUUAAUACCAAUUAAAAAACAUCUUAAACUUAAUUUAUCUAAUUUCUUGGGCAGGGACCUAGCCCAAAAUUGGUAAAAUUAAAAUUAGAUCUUUCUAAUUUUGAAGCACUAAAAUUGGAUUUCUUUUAAAUUGUAAAAUUAUAAAUUUAACCCUUAAAAAAAUUAUAAUUCAACUUUAGCCUCUAAUUUUUUUUCUCUAACUUACAUCUCCGCCUAAUUCAAUAUAUUUUAAAAAAAAAUUGACUACAAACAUCUAGACAUUACCAACAAAAAUAUAUUUAUAAUUAGUAUUUAAUAUAAAAUAUUUUAAUUCUAUAAGCAAUUUUCAAAAUUUUCAUAUAUCUCGAUUUUUCUAUAUAUAUUUUUUUAUUUUUAUUAAAUCAUGAAUGAAAUAUAUAUUAUCUUUCGGAUUCUACUUAUAAAAUCUAAUAACUACACUAAUAACGUAUUAAAUCAUUUUAUGUAUAUAUAUAUAUAAGUUCAAGUGGUCCAUAGGUAGCUUAGAGUACAAGGGAUUAAGUUGAGGGCCCUUAUCAUUUUCUCCAAAUGUGAAGUGAUGUUAACUGCUUAGCUUCCUCCUCUUGCCCCAUUCAUUUUCCUUCCUUUCCACAAUAUAUAUUGUAUAAAUAUUUAUGGGUAAUCGAUUGAGUCUUAACUCGAUUAGUAUGAGUAUUGUUGUCAAUACAGGAAGGCGUGUAUUCGGCACAUUAUCCUCCUAUUUAAGGGUUGGGAGGCUAGGAGUAGUUGUAGAUAUUAUAUUUAAAAAAAACAGAUAUGAUUAAAACCUAUAAUGAGAUUAUUAAAAAAAAUAUUUAUGGGUAAUCAGUUUAUACAAUUUCAAUUAGGCGUAUAAAUCCAAUCAUUAAUCAUUAAAAUGUUUUACUUUAUGCCAUAAUAUUGUUUUAACUGCAGAAGCAUGUGGGUUAAUGAAAACUACUUAUAGUAUCUCAAUUAAAUGUAAUCAACAACCUCAACUCAUAUCUUCCUUCUCUCUCUCACUCUCAAUUAUAUAACCUACUAAUAAUUAACUUUAAUAACCCACUUUCAAGUACAUCUCAGGCUACCUGCCAUACCAAGCCUAAAGCUCCUAAGAUUUUCUAAAAGGUUUGCACAAAAAUACAAAGAUUUAUAGGAUAAUGGAUUUGGGCAAAAAAUUAAGCUUAAUUAUUUAAAUUAUAGGUUGAAUUUAUCGAUAAGUCAUGUUAAACGUAAUGGUAAGAUACAUUUGUACUCUUAAGAAAAGAAUGUAGAUUCAAAUAUUAAAAACGAUAUUGUUAAAAAAAACAAUCACAAAUCUCAAACAUGAGUCAUAAAACAGACAUGUAAAAUACAUUUGGACUCAUUUAAGAUUAUUAAAACAUGGAUAAUUUAACUCAAUAUUGCAAUUUAGUGUUACAAUAUGAUUUCGUGAUAAAAUCAAUAAUGUUGAUUUGUAUUAUUGUAUUAAGUAGUGCAUGAAAUGUAGGAUUAGAUAAAUUUGUAUAAAGUGCAUGCUAAAAACUGUUUUGAAGGCUUUAUAGAAUUCUUUUCGCUUAAAAGAUAAGAGUCUACCUGAUCAGCUAAGGUUUACAAUAUUGCUUAUAGGUUUAGCUUUCAAUCGAAUUGAGUGAAAAUUUUUUGAGUUAAUCGAGUUAACGAGUCCUAUUUUAUCAUUCUAACACAAUUUGAAAUUUUCUCGAAGUCGAGUAAAAUGAAAUUCAAGUUAAGUCGAAUCGAGUGAAAUUGUUCGAGUUAAAUUAAAAAAUUAAACAUGUCAAAUUAAAAUCUUAUUACAGUAUAAUUAAUUUCAUGUUAGAGCACAUAAUAUUGAAACCAUAUAUAUUUGAAAACUUUUUCAAAGCAAGAUAAGGAAAAAAAAUACUUUAGUAUAAUAAACUUGAAUCAUUAAUUAACUUAUUUAAGUCCCCAAAAUUAUUAUUUUAGAACAUUUUUAAAUUUUUAACUUUCUUUAUAUAUUCUUUAUAAUUUUUUUUAAAAAUAUAAUUUUUGGAAUUUUUAUAAAUAUUUUGAAUUUUGAAAUUUAUUUUGAUUUUUUUGUAUUUUUUGUUGAAAAAGACCAAUUUGCUCAUUUUCAAAAUUGACAGGGAUCAAAAGGGUAUUUAUAUCAAUCUAUUACUCGAAUUAUUCGAGUUAUUCGAAUUGUAAAAUUCUACUCGACUUGAACUCAAAACUCGAAUUACUUAUUAAAUUUUACUCGAAAAAAUCAAAUAACUCGAUUCAAUUAACUCAUAAUUCAAUUUUUAUUUUAUUUUUUCAAAUCGAGUUUUGUUCACCCCUAAUAACUUAUUAGCAAGAAUUGUUCAAUUUUAAAAUACAAGCUAAUAAGAUUAUUUUAUCUUGAUAUUAAAUGCUAUUUAUACAACUUAUAAAAGAUGGUCGAUACACACAGAUGGGGUAGACUUUUUGAGUGUUUCAUUUUUUUGGUUCAUGGAACAUUUUGCAAGGUAUAUACACCUUGAUACCUUUGGUAUUAUUUGGAGAGUUUUAUUCAUUUGUAUGCAAAUAUGUUUGCGGUAUGUGAUAAUAUUUUGGGAGAGUGAGUGUAAAGAAUUGCAUACUAGUGAAACUACUUUUAUCUACAUUUUGCAAGAUGGAUACACCAUGAUUAGAGGUGUACAUGAGUCAGGUCGGGUCCAAUCAAAAUUUUAGACCCAUUUGUUAGGCUUGGGUCCAGAUAAAAAUAUUAAAAUUUAGGCUCGGUCCGGCCCGCCUGUAUUAAUUUUUUAUACAAAUUUAAAAAAUAUACAAUACAUCAAAAAUAUUAAAAAUAUUAAAAUAAAUGUUUCUCAACAAAUUGAAAAUAAAUUUUUAAAAAAUAUAUACUUAAAUAAAACUAAGAUAGGUGAAACUUAACAAGCAAAUGCCUCUAAAAUAGUAACAAAAUUAAUAAUAAAACAAUAGUUAUACAAUAUCCAAAUAAUAACAACAAAAUAGUAGCAAUAUAAUUGUGAAAUUGUAGCAAAAUAGUGAAAAACAACAAAAAAAAUAGCAACAAAAUAAUAAUAAAAAAACAGAAAAAAAACUGCAAUUUUUUUUUAUUUUGUAUAUUCGGGUCGGGUUGAGCCGGGCUCAAACCCAAAAAUCCUUACUCGAGGCUCAGCCCGUUUUAAAAUAAAUAUUGUUUAAUUAAUUAAUUAAAAAAUCAAUAGUGUUUAAAAAAUAUCACAAUGAAAUAUUAAAUUUUAUAAGAUUUCAUAAUUCUAAAAAAAUAAAAUAUGAAAAUGUUUAAAAAUUUUAUUAAUUUUUUUAAAAAAAUUAUACAAAAUUUUAAAAAAAUAAACAAAUACUACUAAAAGGUUUUAAAUCAAAAUUAAAUAUAAUGUAAUUAGAAAUUUAUUUUUAAAAUAUUUAUUUUAUUUUUUUAUAAAUACUAUUAAAUGUUUUUAACGGUAACAUAUUUUAAAAAGUAUAAUAAUUUUACAUAAAAAAAUUAUGUUUACUAAUUACAUUUUUUUUAUUUUUUUCCUAACAUAUCAUUAUCUGCAACUUGUCAUAUUAAAGAAUUGAAGAUUUAUUUGAGUAGUUAACUUUUUUACAAAAAGAACUAAUUAAUUUAUUAUUUUUAUAAAUUGUUACACCCCAUACCCGGUCUAGAUGUUAUGGCCGGAUCUUGAGGAAUUACAGAAGUUCAUUUUAAAACUAGAUUUUUAAUUUGAAAUCGUAUAAUAGAAUAAUGUUAACUUUGUAAAAUCGCUUUCUGAUUUUAAGGGAAAUACUCAUUUAAACUAUUUCUUUUAUUGCAGAAAAACACUUCAGUGAUCACUUCAUUUUGCAGCGGAAAUUUUCUAAGUUAUAAAAUAUUGAAAACUGUGGCUUGGUUUGUAAAACAAAUAAUUUUGCAGUUUAAAAAUAUAACAGUUGCAAAAUCCGUUAAAGCAAAUCAAAACAGAAAAUAAAGUCCCAGAAUAAUUUACAGUCCAAAAAAUUCAUAAUAAUUACAUUAACCAUUUUAAUUUAGAGAAUCUAACCCAAGCUCCCACACGUCGUCCAAUAUUAGGUUUCCUAAUCACCUGAGAUGAUAAAAGUAAAGGGUGAGCUAACAAGUUUCAUGUGUAACUCAAUCCAUACAAACAACACAGAUACAGUAACCGAUACGAAUAUAGAUGCAACUACAGAUACUAAUACUGGUUCUAUUUCCAUUCGCUACACACCAUCUUCAUCCAUCCCUACACACGAUUAGGGUAUUAAAUAUCCAUCCAACCCACACACCUAUAAGUGAGCAUAUGUCAUUUUUCAAAAUAGUGCAAUCAAGCUACCAGAAAUAAUGCGGUAAUCCACCAGAAUUAGAUAAGUGUGGUAAAGCCACCAGAAUAGAUAUGUGGUUUAAACUACCAAAUAAGGCAAAUCAUUAAAUUGUCAACACUUCCUCCAUCAUAUCAUUAUCCCACCCCAAUGCACAUGCAAACACUAAUUAGAUAAUAGAUACAUAUAAAUUGCACUAACAAAAGUAAAAUAUUAGAUUUCAUAUCUAUAAGUCAUACAUAACACAUUACGGAACCUAAGAAAUGGCAAACCUCGAAUCGUACUUCAAAUACGGCCCUAACUAAAUUUUACAAAAAAUGGGCUCACACGCCUGUGUGGCCCACAUGAUCUGGCACACGGCCUCACACAUGCUCAUGUGGCCCACGGCCCACUUAACUUAGCCCGUGUGGCUUAUACAGUUUGGCACACGGUAGUGUGGCGUCGACAGUGAAUUUUUUGGCUUCGAGAUUAUCGUUACACACCUAGUCGUUUUUCGAUACUAACACCACUACAAGGAUUCUAGAACCUAAAACAACAUUUAACACGAACAAUUUAGAAACUAUACACUAAAUAUAAGCCACUAAUUCAGCCACAACCACUAACAUUAGGCUUUAACAAGCCAAAAAUUAGUCUUUCGGACAUUUGGUUACUUACCCAGAACAAUAGCGACAGUCCUAAAAAUCUCCUAAUUCACUGAAAAGACGUCACACGCCUCACAAACUUCUCCUAUUGAAACAUAACAUGUCAUACGGAAACGAAUUAACCUUACUACUGAAGAACACACUUACGAGACUUGCACUUGAACAAAAAUACGAAUUCCUUGCUCGAACAUAGCACCACGAUGAUUACACGUCAGAAAAUCAAUACCAAAAUGAUUUAAACACAGGACCUCUAAGUAAGCUGAAGUCUUACCACUGAACCAACAAGCUCAUUUUUAUCAUUAAUUGAGCAAAAAUAAUAUAUAAGCUUAAUAUCCAAAUCAAGGGUUGGGUCAAAAAUUUUUUUAAAAAAAUUAAACAAAAGAAUUUGAAGGCCAUUUUACCAAAAUAGUCCAAAAAAAUAUUAUAUUUACAAAAAUAACUCAGGUUUAAAAACAAUCACCAAAAUAACCUAAAAUGAACAGUACCCACUCGUUUUUUGCACCCAUGAUUGCCUAAUAAUUGUGUCAGAAUUAAAAAAAUUAAUUUUUUUGGGUUUUGGCCUGUCAACGGCCGGAACCCAUGUAUUUUUUUAAAUUGUAUAAUAUUGAUAUACGAAAAAAGGAAAAAAAGAAAAACGAAAAAAAAAAUUUUGGGUGCUGGCCUAUCAAUGACCAGCACCCAGUACAUAUUUUUUAAAAAAAAUUCUUUUUUUUCGCAUCAGAAUCAGAUAACAGAUAUCAGAUAUCAGUACAAUUUAAAAAAGAAUUCUUUUUUUUGUGUCAAAAUCAGAUAUCAAUAUACGAAAAAAAUUAAAAAACAAAUUUUUUUGGGUGUCGGCCAUUGAAUAGCCGGCACCUAGUACAAAUUUAAAAAAAAAAAUCUUUUUUUUUUCGUGUCAAAAUCAGAUAUCAAUAUACGAAAAAAAUUUAAAAAAAAAUUUAGGUGCAGGCCUGUCAAUGGCCGGCACCCAGUACAAUUUAAAAAAAUUUCUUUUUUUUUUCGUGUCAGAAUCAGAUAUUAGUAUACGAAAAAAGUAAAAAAAAAAUUUGAGUGUUGGCUAGUCAAUGGCACGAAAAAAAAUUUGAUAUUUGAUUCUGACACAAAAAAAAAAGAAAUUUUUUUUUAAAAAUUGUACUGGGUGUCGGCCAUUGACAGGCUAACACCCAAAAAAAAAAUUUAAUUUUUUUUUGUAUAUUGAUAUCUGAUUUUACCACGAAAAAAAAAAGAAAUUUUUUUUUUAAAAUUGUACUGGGUGCUGGCCAUUGACAGGCCAGCAUUCAAUUUUUUUUUUUUGUAUACUGAUAUCUGAUUCUGACACGAAAAAAAAGAAAAAAAUAAUUUUAAUUGUACUGGGUGCCGACCAUUGAGAGGCCAACACCCAAAAUUUUUUUUUAAUUUUAUUCGUAUAUUGAUAUCUGAUUUUGACAUGAAAAAAAAAUUUAAAAUUGUACUGGGUGCCGGCCAUUGAAAGGCCAGCAUCCAAUUUUUUUUUAAAUUUUUUUCGUAUAUUGAUAUCUGAAUCUGAUUUUGACACGAAAAAAAAAUUAAAAAAUUAUACUGGGUGCCGGCUAUUGACAUGCCAACACCCAAAUUUUUUUUUAUUUUUUCGUACACUGAUAUCUGAUUCUGAAACAAAAAAAAUUUUAAAAUUUGUACUGGGUGCCGGCCAUUGAUAGGCCAACACCCAAAAAUUAUUUUUUUUCGUUUUUCGUAUAUUGAUAUCUGAUUCUGACACGAAAAAUAUAAUUUUUUUUUGUACAUUCCGGCACCCAAAAUUUUUUUUUCCUUUUUCGUAUAUCAGUAUUAUAAAAUUUAAAAAAAUACAUGGGUUCCGGCCAUUGACAGGUCAAAACCCAAAAAAUUAAUUUUUUUAAGCCUGACACAAUUAUUAAGCAAUCAUGGGUGCAAAAAACGAGUUGGUACUGUUUAUUUUAGGUUAUUUUGGUGAUUGUUUUUAAAUCUGGGUUAUUUUUAUAAAUAUAAUAUUUUUUUAGACUAUUUUGGUAAAAUAGCCGAAUUUGAACCUAGAACCUCAUACACACUAACACAACACAUAGCCACUAAACUAGAUUAAUCACUUUGAUAAUUUUUAACAAUUCAAAAAUAAAAAUUUUGGGGCGUUACAAUAAUAAUAUGGUUUAAAUUAUUUUUUACAUCAUUCAUAAAAAUUAUAACAAACUUACAAAAAGAUUUAAUGAUAUUUAAUUAUUAACGGGUAAAAAAAUUAUAUCAUAUAUCAUAUAUAUUCUAUAUUUAUUAUAAUAGUUUCAUCUUUCAAAUUUUCUUCCUCAUAAUUAAAGCAUAAGUUAUAUUUAUAAUAUUAUAAAAUAUUAUAUUUAAAAAAUUUACACACACAAUCAACCUAUGCAUAGCACGAGAUAAGAAAACUAGUUUAUCAAUAUGAACGAGUUUACAUAAACUUUAAUAUACAAAAUUCGAGCUAAAUCUAGCUUCAAUUUUUUGGUCAACUUCUUUUGACUUUAAAUCUUACUUCUUCUUCUUCUUUUGGCAUAACGACUUAUUUGGCACAAAAACAAAAGUCAUUUUAGCUUUUUAUGUAUUUUUUCACCAUUUUUAACCUUUAAACUUACAUUUUUUGUCAAAUCGCUCCAAAAUGAAUCGGUAUGUUAAUGUUUUUUAACUUUGCUAAUGUUGCAUACAUAUGGAUUGCUAUGUGGAUGACACAUCAACAUUUAAUUAAUUUUAAAAAAUAUAAAAAAACUAUUUUUAAAAAUUAAAAUCAUUAAAAUUAUCAAAUAAAUAUAAAUAUUUUUAAAAAUUAAUUAAAUGUUGAUGUGUCAUCUACGUGGCUAUCCAUACGUAUGUCAUGUCAGUAAAGUUAACAAAUAUUAAUAUUUUCAUCCAUUUUGGAAUAAUUUGACAAAGAAAUAGAAGUUCAAAAACUAAAAAAGAAAAAAUUAAAUAUAAGACCAAAAUAUAUAUUUUUAAAUUGAAGGACCAAAUAAAUGAUUAUGUAAAGUUGUGAAUAUUAAUCUUACCAUAACAAUCAUAAUUCGCUUAUGCUUUAUUCAUUUUUAGGGUUUUCCUUACUAGGAGUCUAGGAUACUUGAAGGCAGAUAUUAUUAUUAUAAAUAUUAUUAUAUAUUAAAUUAAUUUUUAUGUUUAAUAAUUAAAUUUAAACAUAUUUUUUUAAUUAAGGAACAAUAAUUUGGUCCGGAUGCGUCCUUGGACAGUUUUGUAAUUUCCCAAGUUAUUAACUUUUGUUUAGGGUUUAUCAUAGUUAGGAAUUAAUUGGCCUAAUUUCUCAACUUAGAUUUGAUGAUACGAUUAAAAAAUAGGAAAUAUCAAAAUCUGAUAAUAUGAAUUAUUUGUUGACACCUUUUUUUUGAUAAAACGGGGUCGACUUGGAUUUUGAAAACGAAAACGAAAAUGGGAGUCGCCACCAAUCCUUUUUGAUGAGGUGUAAUCGGAUCACCUUGAAAAGUGGUUGUUUUUAAUAAACGAUUUGAUUUUGUUAAAACAACAAUUUUGGUCCACGAAAUUCAGAAAAUCAGGUUCGGGAGUCGAUUACGUACGAGGAAGGAUUAGCACCCUCGUAACGCCCAAAAUUGGUACCUAGUUGAUUAAUUAGUGUCAUAGUGUCGAGAAUUGGAAACUUUGAAGAGAUUCAAAAUACGAUCCUUGAUUUUAAAAAACUUAUAUAAAAUAAGUUACUCGUUAAGACCCUCUCAUUUCGGAAAGAGAAAAUGUCACACCCAAUGAGUUAGGGCAUAAUAUUUCACUUCCUCAAAAAUGAGCUUAUCCAAAAAAAAAACUCGUGCAAUAAAAUUUAAAAGGAUAUUCAAUUGUUUAAGUCAGAUGAGGAAAUCGCAGCCCAAUACGUUAGGGCACAAUUUCUCAAAAUUCUAAACAUUGAAUAUUACCUUUAUUAUUUUUAGGAAAAUCCUCAUCUCGAGAAAACAACGUGUCAUAUCCAAUGCGUUAGGACACAACGUAUUGAAUUCCCGGUAAUGAGCUUUUUAUUCAUGUGUUUUUUUUAUUAAAGAGCAUUCUCGACUAUUUAGAUUAAACGAAAGAAAUUGGAACCCAAUACGUUAGGGCUCAAUCCUCUCGAAGAUCCCAAAUACCGAGUAUUGCCUUUAUUUUCAAAAUUUCCUCUUUUUACAAAUUCGGGUAAAAAUUGAUGUAAUAUUAAAUUUGAUAUAUGAAUAACAGCCGCAUUAAUAAAUGACAAUAAUGAAUAUGACGAUGUAGCAUAAAUAAUACAAGCAAUAGUAACGAAAAUAAAUUAGAUAAAAAUGAGAAAUCGAUGACAUACAAAAUAACAAGUAUAUAAGCAAAUAAAAUUAAAACAUUCUUUUAAAAUAACAAUGAAAAUGUAAAUAAAUAAGUAAAUAAAGAAAAUGAAUAAAAUUAUAAAAAAAUUUAAAAAGAUAUAUAUGUAUGUAUAUUAAAAUAUAUGUAUAUGUAUUUACAAAAUAUAAAAAAAUGUAUAAGUACAUAUAUAUAGGUAAAGUAUGAAAAUAUGUGUAUAUAUGUACAUAAAUUAAAAUGCGUAUAUAUAUAGGUAUAUAUAUAUAUAAAUGAAAUAUGUAAGACUAUACUUAUAAUGAUUUAAAAAUGUACAUAUAUAUAUUAUAGGGACUGUAUGUAUACAUAUGUAGGGAUUAUAAAAUGUAUAUGCCUAUAUAUAUAUUAGAAAUAUGCAUGCCUAUAUAUAUAUAACAAGAUUUUGGAAUAAAAAAAAAAGGUGUAACCGAAUAAAUAAUAAUAAUAAGUAAUAAUAUAAUAAUAUUAAUAGUAUUAAAUAAUUACUUUUAAUAGAAAAAUAACUAAAAUAGCAUAUUGAGGAUUAAAUUGAAAAUAAACGGAGUUUUAGGGCUGGAUUUAAAAAUGGAAAACACAAAGGGGACCGAUUUAUAACACACGCGAAGUCCAGAGGAUUGAUUUGGAAAAUAUCCCAAGCCCUACGCGUAGCGUUUUGAUGCGGACUGAAAUGAAACAUAAGAGAAAUUAUGCAGCCGAAUUAAAAAAACAAAAUGGGACCAAAUUGCACUAGGCUGCGAAAGAGGACGGACCUCUAGCGAAAUAUCCCCCUUCACUGCAGAAACACGAGGAUCCUGAGGGCGGACGGGUCGAGUCACGGGUCAGGGCCAAAACGACGUUGUUUUGGCACCUGAUCCCUAGUUGCAAAACGGGGCCAUUUUAUUUAGGGUAUUUAAGUAAAAAAAAUUGAAAAAUCAAUACAGCCACCAUUUAAAAAAAAUUCAAAACCCCUCCCCUUUUAUCUCAAGAUCCGGCUCUCAGUCCCCUCGGCCUCCGUCGCCCCGCCUUUCUGCUCGCCGCACCGCCACCGUAUUCGACGACCGACGAAGCGCAAGAACGGGCGUUCGAAGCCUUGCCCCGGUGAGUUUCCCCUUUCCUUCUUUUUUUUUAUUUACCAUAUAUAAAAAGAAUUAAAAAUAGAAUAAAAAAUAGGGAUACACUAUCAAAAUAUGGAUCUUGUUCCAAAAUCAAACAAUCACCUUGAGAUUGUUGUGUUUCUUUUUAUUCUUUGUGUCUUUUUGAUUUUCUGAAAUGUUCAAAAGAAAAGAAAAAAAAAACCCUUACAAUCGGUUUUAGAUUGCUUUUAUAGUCAUUUACAACACUUUUUUUUAUCUAUUUUUCUAAUGUUUCUCUUGCGUGCAUGUUCUUCUUUGUAGGGAGUGGUUGGCGCGACAGGGAGGAGCGGUGGUGGUAGCUGAGGCUAGGGAUAGGGUGAGGUGGCUUCUGAAACCCUAGUUUGACUAUUGGGUCAGUGGGUUUUGGGUUGUAAUGGGCUAGUAUUUUGGGUUUAAGUUUGGGUUUCAAUUGGGCUAGGGUGUUUUGGGUUAAAUUUCUUGGACUGUUAAUUUUUUAAUUUGUUUGGGUUUUAUUUGUCUGGGCCCGGGUAAAAAUGGGCUUGUACAUUCUUAAUACUAGUUUUUUUUAUAUGAGUAAAUAGAUAAUUACUUGAACCAAUUUAAUAAAAAUUAAUAUAUUAAAAAAUAUAAUGUCAUCAUUUUAAUAGUUUAUAUCUUUAUAAAUUUUAAAUGAUUAAAUUAAAUUUUUAUUAUUUGAGAGGUUAAAGUACACUUUUACUAUUACUAAUUUAAAAUUUUAUAAAUUAUAAAGGAGACUAAAUAAAAAAAAAUCCAUUUUAGGGAGGCCGGAAAACCUUGCCAGCCUCCCUGACUUCACCAUUAAAAUCUAGAAUAUGCUCCUCACUAUGCGUCGGAAAAUUAAAGAUUUAAAAUUAUAUUAUCGUGUAAUAGAUAUAAUGAUUUUAAUUUUUUAAAUAAAUAAAUAAAGUUAAAGUUAAAAUCAAAUCAAUGUGAUCAAUUGUACUAAAUAUAGAUGAUUUAAGACAUGAUGCAAAUAAAGCAUAGUAAAAUAAUUAAUAUAUAGCAUGCCAUGAUAACAAAUGCGAAUUUAGAGAGGCAGACAAGGGUUCUUUUACUAUUUAGGUUUUUAAGUUUUUUUAAAAUUUUAAAUUAGUAAAUGUAAAAUUGUACUUUGCCCCUUCAAGUUAUAAAAAUUUGAUUUAAUCUUUUAAAAAUCUGGCUUCGCCCCUGCAUGAUAAUAAUAUUAAUACAACACAAAUACACAAAAAAAUCAAAUUUUAUACAUAAUAAUUAUUUACUUGUAUAAUUUUGUAAUAUUUUGAAUACAAAGAAAUAACACAAACAAUUUUCUCUAAAUUGAAUCACUCAAAUAAAAUAUUUUAAAUAUCUCAUAAUUUUAAAAUGUAGUAUAAGGAUAAUUUUAAAAAAUAAUUUAUUAUGAUAAAUUAUAUAAAUUAAAUAAAGAAACAAUACUAACCCAAUAUAAAAGAAAUGUAAUAAUAAUAUCAUAAACAAUUUUUAGUUAAUUAAACAUUGGAUAGCUUCGCUGGAUCAUGUCCUGGCUUCCUCAUGUAUAAGAAAAAGCCUCACAUUGAGGGGCCAGUAGACGUUUGGCCUUCAAACGAUUGACUAAUUUUUGUCUUUUAAUUAGAAUUUGGCACGUUGAUGAUGGGAGGAAAGAAAGGAAAGCGUGAAAUAGAUUUCAUCGUGGUCUGGGUCAUUCGUCCAGAUUCGAAGGUCUACUUAAAAAGUGAGAAAGUUUAAGUAAAAAUAUAGGCUCGAAAAAUAGAUUUCGGCAAAAAAUAAUACUCGUUUUCUAAACGGGUCAAGCCUCGGAUAAGAUCUUUUGAUCUGGCCUGGCCUGAAUUUGCCUAAAAAAAUUUUCACUACUGUUUAGUGUUGGUUUGUUGUUGUUUGCAGCCAUUUUGAUGUUGUUUUGUUAUCAUAUUGCUACUAUAUUACUACUAUUUUGUUGUUAUUGUUUGGAUAUUAUAUAUCUCUUGUUUUAUUAUUAAUUUUGCUACUAUUUUAGAGGCAUUUGCUUGUUAAAUUGCACUAUCUUAGUGUUAUUUAAGUAUAAAGACUUUUUUUAAUGUAUUUUCAAUUUAUUGGGAAACGUUUAUUUUAAUGUUUUUAGUGUAUUUGAUGUAUUAUAUUUUGGGUAGACUACCAAAAUAGUCACUUUUGUUUACCUCGGGUUACAUUUUAGUCACUUAUGUUUGAAAUGUUAGGUUUUAGUCACUUACAUUAUCGUUUUGUUACGAAAUGGUUGUUACUCUAUCAUUAAGAUUUGUUACUAGUUCGUGAUAGAAUGUGCAAGUGUACACAGUCGUUAUCAAGUAAUAAGUAAGUAAAAAGAGUUAUUGUCUCCACAGGGACUGUGUUUAAAUUGAUAAUUGUAAAAUUACUAUUCACAAGUUGGUUAAAAAAACACAAUAUUUUCAAGGUGAUUGAUGUUAGAAUUAAAUUAAUGCAAAUGAAUUAACCUAAAUGCAAUGCAAUGAAAUAAGAUGCAAUGAGAUGGUUUAGCAACAAUUUCAUAAGUUUUAACAAAAAUAACACGAAUGAGCUAGAACAACUACAACACUUGACUCAAUUAGUAUGAUGAUAAUCAGUAUGUUUUUUUCACCUUCAUGUUGGAAAUUCGUCAUGCGUAAUUAUACACGUAGACCUUUAAAUUCAAUAAUGUGUGAUUGUCAUGUGUGGUUGUCAUGUGUGGAUUUUAAUUUACACUAUAGCAAAACAGGUUUUUAGCGGCGUUUAUAGCGGCGUUUGAACGAAAAGCGCCGCAAAAAAUCGAGCAUUAGUGGCAAAUUCUAACAAAUGCCACAAUAUGUAAGCAAUAGCGGUGCUUUUACUAAAACGCCGCAAAUGAUCAAGCAUUAGGGGUGCUUAUAGAAAAACGCCGCAAAAAACUUGGGAAAAACAACGCCGUUUGCUUUUUCCAUUAGCGGCGAUAAUUAACAAACGCCGUAAAAAAUCUAGAAUUAGCGACACUCUUUUACAAACGCCGCAAAAGAUCGAGAAUUAGUGGCGUAUUCUGUAAAACGCCGCUAAAGGUCAAACAUUAGCGGCGCUUUACGAAAAACGCCGUAAAAAAUUUGAGAAAACGACAUCGUUUUGUAUUUUGAGAUUUAAUGGUAUUAGCGGCGCAUUUUAACAAAUACCACAACAGAUCGAGAAUUAGCAACGGUUUUUAUGAAACGCCGCUAAAAAUGAGCAAAACGAUUUCGUUUUUUUGUUUAGCAUUAGCGGUGUUUUUUAAGAAACGCUGCAAAAAAUAGUUUUAUUUUACACUUUUUGGUUUAGGGUUUAUGGUUUUAAGGUUUAAAGUUUAAGGUUUAGGGUUAGUAUUUAAGGUUUAGGGCUUAGGGUUUAUGGUAUAAUGUUUAUUAUUUUCGGAUUAGAAUUUUGAGUUUUGCGUUUAUGGUUUAGAGUUUGUGGUUUGGAGUUUAAGGUUUAGGGUUUAGUAUUUAAGAUUCUUUUUUAAUUACUUUUGUCCCCUAUAAUAUCUAUAUUUAGGGUUUAGGGUGUAUGAUCAUGGUUUAGGGUUUAAGGUUUAUGGUUUAAGAUUUUAAGGUUUAGAGUUUAGUUAAUACGGGAGAGGUUUAUGGUUUUGGAUUUAAGGUUUAGGGUAAUUUAAGAAUUAUGGUUUAGGUGUUUAGGGUAUAGGGAUUAGGGUUUAAAUUUUAUGGUCUAGGGGUUUUAGGAUUUAGGGGUUUUUGGGUGUUUAGGAUCUUGGGUUUAGGGUUUUUUGUCUAAUUAUGAAUUUCAUCCUUCUAUCUUAUAAAAAAAAAGUUAAGCUUUUUUCUUUAAUUCAUUAGAAUUUAAUCUUUGUACUUUAAAAAAAACUAAUUUUAAAAUAAUUAAUAGAAUUAUUAAAAUUUUAAGAUACCCAAAUUAAAUUAUUUUUUAAUAGUAGAGGAAGAAUUGUCUUCCAUCAUUGUAUUCAAUUUUAAAAUUGAACAAUUAAAUAAUGUCAUAUUAAAAAUUUUAAAAAUUUAACAAUUAAAAAUAAUGUCAUAUAUAUUAGUGUAUCAAAUUUUAAUUUUAUAAAAUCGUUAAAUAUUUUUCAAAUAUUUAACGGUCGUGGCGUUUGGACCAAAAACGCACUACACCAAAACAGACUUUUAGCGGCGCUUUUUUAGGCCUUUAGUGGCGCUUUUUAGCACCGUCGCUAGACCAAGACCAUUAGCGGCGCUUCUUUCACAAACACCGUUAAAGACCAUGACCUUUAGCGGUGCUUUUCCCACAAACGCCGCUAAAGACCAAGACCAUUAGCAGCGCUUCUCGCAAAAAUGCCGCUAAAAACAUAACCUUUAAAAAAUUUAUUUUAAUCAAAUUAUAUUUAUUUUUAUGAUAAAUAUUAUAUUUUGUUUUAUUUUAUUUUCUAAAUUUGAACUUUAAAUAUACUUUUAAGGAUAAAUAAAAAAUAUUAUUUAAAUUAAAUUUUCUAUGAAAAUUUUAACUUUAAAACUAAAUAUAAAAAUUAAUGAAUUUAGUUUUAGAAUUUAAAAUAAUAAAUUAAUAACACAAUUAAAAUCCAAAAGUUAGAACUCUUAAGGAAAAAUAAAAAUUUAGAAUCAAAACUAAAAUAAAUAAUACAUAUGCAAGGUAAUAAAACAUACAAUGCAUUUUCUUAAUCAAGUAAAUCUUGGUAAUAAAAUAUAUAAUACAUUUAUUUAAUCAAGGAUCUCUUGUAAUGAACUCAAAGCAAUGAGCGUGAAACUGAAAGCAGCAGAAUCGUAAUGAACUCAAAGCAAUGAGCAUCAGAAUUGAGAAGAAAAAAAGAAUCACGAUACGCAAACGAGAUCCAGAACUUCUGUUCCUUUGGACGCCCACACUGGAUAGUCCCCGCUUCAACGCCAUUGGCUAUCAGAGCCUAAUAACAACAAUAGCAGCAGCAAAAUCACUCAUCAAAAGGUGGAAAAAGGAUAAUUACAAGUUAACAGUGAGGAGAUCGCAUGAAACUGAAAGCAGCAGAUCCGUAUCGAAGCUAGUUGGAAUGGAAAUCCAUGGGAAAGCAAGCAUAGAUUAAAACUUCAUAGAACUUUCUCUAAAAACUUCAUAGUAAACUGCUUCAGUCUACUUUUUAUUUUACUUGUACAACAAUUACAUGAUAUGCCAAAAUAAAAAAUAUGGGUCUGCGCCACAGAAUCCAUAAAAAACUUCAUAGAACUUUCUCUAAACUUUUACUUGCCAAUGUUGUCAACCUUUUUUCAGGAAUUUGGAGCAUGCAGAAACCAUAUAAUUUAGCUAUCCCAUUUUACAGUGAAAGCUAGGAACACACAAGAAACAGAUGAAAAAGGAUAAAUCUAAUACCCGUAAAGCAUCAGUAACUUGGCGUCCUUGUAGCCCAUCUUUUUGCAGAGACCAUCUAUUCUCAGCAUUUUUCUUCUUUGAAAAACCCGUAAAAUAUGGGUUUUGGUGUUAAAUAAUGCAACUGCCAUCAACAUCAAGGUCGAAAUCAUAGCUUAUUCUUCCAUGUUAAGAAAAGUAUGCUAAAAAAUGAGGGUUAGAAAAUAAAAUAAUGCCUGGUUUGAAACAUACACCAUUGAUGUAAGAAUAGGGUUAGAACUCUAUGAACAUUAAGCAAAAUAGCCAAUUUAAAUUCACUUAACAACAUUAAGAAAAAUGAUACAAAUGCAAAAAAGAAAAAAAUAAUAAAUAUAUACAAGACAAACAAAAGAAGAGAAGAUUAGUACUAAACCAAUGUUCCCUUACCGAGAAGACAUGAUUUCUAAUCAAUGAAUUAGUGCCACAAAAUAAACAAAAAGAUCAGCGGCACAGGCACAGAACUUGCGCAUUUUUUAACUGCAAUUAAAUCCAGUUCCAUUUUGCAUAUAUAAAAAGAAAAUAUAAGCUCAAUGUGCCAAAAAAACUAAUAAAAUUUGAGCUCAACUUAACAAAAAUCAAAGUGCAGCCAAACAAUGACUCUAGUUCUGACCUUAAUAAUGGCCAACUAACUAAAACUUCCUUCAUACCAAACAAAGACAGUAUAUCGAUAUUCUUCAUACCAAACAAAGACAGUAUAUCGAUAAGCUUAGUGCUAAAGGCCCGAGCAUUAGCGGCGCUUAGCAUUAGCGGCGCUUCUUCAAAAACGCCGCUAAAAGCCCCAAAAACUCAGAAAACGGUGUCGUUGGGCUUUGGCUUUUUGCAGCGCUUUUUAGAAAACGCCGCUAAUGCUUAUUUUUAGCGGUAUUUUCUGAAAAGCAUCGCUAAUGCUCUACCUUUAGCGGCGUUUUUAUAAAAGUGCCGCUAAUGCUUGAUUUUUAGUGACGUUUUUUGCCCAAACGCCGCUAAAAGCUUGUUUUUGUGUAGUGAUGCCACAACAAUGUCUUAAAAAUUAUACAAAACGGGGCCGUUUGGUUACAAGAAUUUAAUUUUUAGUGGUGUUUUUCUCCACAACGCCGCAAAAGGUAUGCAAUAGCGGCGUUUGUUAUAAAAAUGCCACAACAAUGUAUUAAAAAGUGCACAAAAACUGCGUCGUUUGCUAACAGGAUUUUAACUUUUUAGUGGCGUUUUUCUCAGAAUCACCGCAAAAGGUAAGCAUUAGCGGCGUUUUGUCUAAAAACGCCGCAACAAUGUAUUAAAAAUUGUUCAGAACGGUGCCAUUUCGUUUCAGAAAAUUAAAAAUUGCUCAGAACGUCGUCGUUUUCUUCCACAUAACAAUUUUCUUCCCCUUUCCCGCACCCAGCCCCUAAUUCCCCUUCCAAAUCCCUAAUUCCCCUUCGAAAUCUCUUCCAAAUCCCUAAUUCCACUCAUUCACAGAGACGAACCUGCAGAACUAGCAUUGGUUUUAUUUUUGUUUCUUCGAUUCUUCAUUUCGUUUUUUACUUAUUGGGAGCAUCUAUUUCGAUUUCUUCACAACAUUUAGACGAAGACAGAGUAAACGACAUUCUAUUUUUUGGGUAAGCUUGAACCAGUUUCAUUUCCUUUUUUUACGUGUUUAGGGUUUGGGUUAUUCUUGUUUGUGUGAAUUUUUUGUUUUUUUCAAAGUUAUUGACCCUGAAAUCCAGUUAAUUUGUCUUUGGUUUUAGGGUUUCCGAUCUGUAAAAACGUUCGCAUUUCACACUUUUACUCGUGGAAUUUGUUCUGAAGUGAUUUAAUUUCUUUUCAUCUUCCUAAAGGUAUUUUUUUCUUCUCUCUUAAUUCUAGUUUUAGCAAUUUAGUCUAUUUAGGGUUUAAACCAUUUACUGUUACAUUUUGACAAUAAAAUGCAUGCUUUCGAGUGCCUGAAUUUAUUUUGUAUUGAAAUAUAUUUUAAAAUAUAUCAUUAGUGCAUUAUUGGUUGCUUUCUCAUGCAGAUUUAGCAAUUUAGUCAGGCAGAGGCAGAGUAGUAGUUUUUUCUUUCCAUUUUGAUUGUAGCAAUUUAGUCGGCAAAUUUGGUAGCUCUCACUGGUUUGAAGCAAUACACAGAAAGUCUAGAUAACCAGAAGGUUAGUUAAUCCUUUAUUUUCUUUUUUUUUCAUUUUUUAAAUUUACGUUUGAAUUUGGUAUAUUUUUAGUUGGGACUGUUUUAUUUAGGAAUUUGGUUAAUGUUGCUGCAAGUUCUUUUUUGCUGCAAGUUCUUUUUUGCUCCAUUUUCUACUAAGUGUUGUAUGUUAAGAUCGGUUAUGGAAUAUAUUUGCAAUUAUCAUACAGUAUUUUGGUUUUUAAAAAUCCAAAUUGAAAUCAAAUUGAACCGAACCUUUCACUGGUUUGAAUCGGUUUGGUUCAUCAAUAAAUACAUAAUUUCUUUAAAACUUUUUUUUAUAUUAAAGUUACUUUCACUCGUUUAAAUAUGAAGUUUUUAUUUUCCCACUGUGAAAGUUUUUAAUUUUUAAUUUUUGUUUGGAUAAUUUUGGUUUAUCAACUUGUGAAAUGAAUUGAUUAAACGUUUUUAUGAAUCGAAUUUGUUUCAAGUUCAGAUUUGAUUUGGGUUUGUUGUAAUUAUAUAUUUUCAAAUGAAUAAAUAAUGCAUAAGUUUACAAAACAUAAUGUGUUAUUGCUCACGAAAACCUAAAAGAUUAUGUCCGAAUAAAGACAAAACUGCAGCUAUAGUCCAUCAACAUCAAAUUUGUGGAAGGACUUAAAAGGAUUAUGCUUAAUGAAAAUGGUUGCUAUAAAAAUUAUUUUUUUGAAUAAUUAUGAGUAAAUUUUUUAAAAAAUCGAUCUACUCUAAAUUUAGUGUAUGGCAUAUUUUGUAAAGAUAUACGAUAAAUACACUUGUCAAUUUUUUUAAUUUCCAUUUUAAAAUUGCCGCAAAAACAACUCUUUUUUAUUAGGAUUUAAUUAAAUUGAUUUCAAUCGGCAAAGUAUGAUGAAAUUCUUACUAUCAUUAAAAAAAUAGGUAAAUGUUAUGUUGUUGAGAUGUUUUAGGUUGGUUAAUAUUGGUUACGAUACUUUAAUCACCUCCAAUAUAUAUAAAAAAAAAUUAAAAAUUUGAGAAUUUAUGAAAUGAUAUAAUGUUAAUUCGUUAGCAUUAAAUAUUCUUAUUAUGUUACAAGUCAAUUAAAUUGAUGUCUUGAGCUUUGAUUUAAAUUAAAAAAGAAUAAAUUUAAACAUUAGAACGGAAAUAUCUAUAUUAUAAUAUUUGUAUCUAUAUACUAUUAUUUUAGUGUUUUAUUGAGUUGAUGUUAAUAUUUAAUAUUUUUAAAUGUUUUUAAAACUUAAAAAAUAUAUAUCAUAGCUUACAUAACUUACAUAACUCGCAUAACUUAUAUAUAUCAUACCAUAACUUAAAUAACUCACAUAACUUACAUAACUUAAUAACUUAUAUAUAUUGUCGAAACCAUUUUUAUAAAAUUUGAAAAACGGGGAUCGACUUCGAAAAUAAAAUGGGAGUCGCCACCGAUCUUUUAUUAAGGUGUGACCGGUUCACCGUUAAAAUGAUUUUGGUCUGCGAAAUUUUGAGAAAAUAAUUUCGGGAGUCGGUUACGUACGAGGAAGGGUUAGCACCCUCGUAACGCCCAAAAUUGGUACCAAAUUGAUUGUUUAAUGUCUUAAUGUCGAAAUUUUGAAAAAAUUUUGAAAUACAAUCCUCUGAAGUUUAAAUUUGAAUAAACCAAAUUGCAUAAUAAGACGCACUUAUUUCGAAGAAAUAAAUUGCCACACUCAGUGAGUUAGGGUGCAACAGUUCAAUCUUUAAAGUUAGAUUUGUCCUUUUAGAUUUUAAAAAUUCACGUGUUUUGAGAAGGAUAUUUGGUUAGUUGGGUCAAUCGAGAAAUUGGAAUCCAAUAAGUUAGGGUUCAAUUUCUCGAGAUUCCUAAACACCAAAUAUUGCCUUUAUUUUAAAAUCGAGAGAACAAGAUGUCAUAUCCAGUAAGUUAGGACCCAACAUCUUGAAAUCUCACAUGCUUUAUUUUGAAAUUGUAUGGUUUUAACAAAAUAAGCACUUGGCUAUCUAAAUUCAUCGAGAAGAGUUGAAGCCCAGUAAGUUAGGGCACAACUCACUCGAGAACCAUGAACACUAGGCCUUUUCUGAAAAUUAUGAAAUAAAAUGAUUGUGGUGCUUUGAUAAAAUACAAUUUUUACAAAUGAGACAUGAUUGAAUAGUAAUACAUAAUAUAAAAGAUAAAAGAUAAAUAGCAACACAAACCUACACUAAGACGUAACAAGUAGGUGAUAGAUAAAUACAAAUAGCAAUAAUGAUUUUAGUCAUAUUAUACUAAUACCAACAUCAAUGUUCGAAAGCUAAACAAAUCUAUCAUCAAUUUUAAGAAUACACCAAGAUAAUAAAAAAAUGAAAAAAAUAUCCUACGUAUAAAAGUUUUAAAAUAAAUUGCAUGCAUGAACUCAAAAUAAACUUGAAAUAAAAUAAUAACAACCUUGAAAAAUAGUAUAUAAAAAAAAUUAUAUAAACAUUUAGCAUAUAGAUAUACAAAAAUGAAUUUUAAGAUAUAACCUAAACAAAACAUUAAAAUGUAUACAAAUUAUACCAAAUUCUUAUAAAAAUAUACAUAUUAAUAAAUAAUGAAUCAAAUAAUAACAUGUCAAGUUUGAAGAUAAAAAUAUAUAAUAGAUAUUAAAAAAAUAAUAUAUGAUAAAUUUAAAACAUAUCAAUAAUAAUUUAAAAUAAUAGUAUAUUACAUUUUAAAAUUAUACUAAUAAUAAGUUUAAAAGUAAUGUCAAACUAAAUAUUAAAAUAUGCUAUAAAUAAAUAUAUUAAAAUAAGUACUAAAUUCGAUUUAAAAUUAUACUAUUAAAAUCAAGUUAAAGUUAAGACAUAAUUUAAAUAUAAAGAAAUAAUAAUAAUAAUAAUAAUAAUAGGAUUAAAAAUGAUAUUGGAAUUCAAAUAAAAAUAAAAAUAAAACACUACAAAUAGAAAUAAAAAAGAAAAAAUAAAGAUAAACUAAAUUGGUAAUCGACGUAAAAAAUGAGGGACUAAAAUUGUAAUUAAACGCAUGACCUGGGCAUUCAAUCCUAAUAAUGAAAACGACACCGCAUAACUAUGGAUCAAAUUGAAAACAAAAUAAAAUACACGAUUCAAAAUAAAAAAAUGAAGAAAAUCAAAUCGAAACAUCACAAAACAAGAGGGACUCAUCGUGCAAAUAGACCAAUGAAUAGAGACGCGCGAAUCCUGCCCCAGGUCGGGUCACCACGUUGGUCUGAGCCUCUAAACGAUGUCGUAUUGUGGCCACUGCACAGGCUCUGAACGACGUCGUUUCUUUCACUACUUAUAAGUAGAACCCUAGAGCAAUCAGCAAUUUAUUUUAUUUAAAAUAAAACCUUAAAGAUUUGAUUGCUGUUUUCAGCGCCGUUCUGUGAUGCAGUCAUUCGAAAAGGAACUUCGAAUCCUUGCUCAACCUCCGAUUGCGACAGAGAGAACCAGGAUCCGGCGGCCAGGUAAGUUCUCUUCUAACUCAUCCUUUUUAAAAAGAAAAGAAAAGAAAAGUAACAUAGAUGGAUCCCCUCGCCGCAUCUGUGGAUCGACUACUCAGGAGAUCCUCAGCCUCGUCCGACCCUGAUUGCGACGGAGCGAACGGAGACCGGGUAAGCCUCUCCUUUCCUUUCUCUCUUCUAUUUUAGUACUAAUCAAUGAACAAAGGAGCAGAGAAAAAAAAGAAAAAGCAAAAAGAUUAACAAUCACCUUUCGAACUUUUCGAUUUCUUCGAAUGAAUUUUUUUUGUAUACAAUAUGCAUGUGUGAUUUUUUUUGUCUCUGUGUCCUUUACAAAGGCCUUGCCUUUUUGUUUUAUAGGCCGAAAGAAAAAAUAAAUAAAAAGAAUCCAUUUUUUCGUUUUCUCUGCUGCGUUUUCUUCCCAUUUGCAGGUAUGGCGUGCGGGGCUGGGGACGUGGCAUGUACGGAGGCGCGCGCGAGGGAAAAGGCUCAGAACGUACGGAGGCUGGUCACGUGCGGACAAAAGGAGCUGCUGCGGCGCUGGGGUUUGCCCUAGGGUUGCUCUGUAUUUUUCUUGUUGGGCCGCUUCGUCAUUGGGCUAGGGUUUUAGAAAUUUAGGUUGGGUCUGGGUUGAAUUUGGGUUGUGAUAUUGGGCUUAGUGGGUCUGAUGUAUUUUGGGUUUGUAAUAUGGACUGAUGGACUUUUAAUAAUUUUGUUUUUAUUUAUAUUUUUUUUAUUUAUUUAUUUCUGAUUUGGACCGGGCAAAUUUGGGUUAUUACAUAUAUCAUACCAUAACUUAAAUAACUCACAUAACUUACUUAACUUAAUAACUUAUAUAUAUCAUACCAUAACUUAAAUAACUCACAUAACUUACUUAACUUAAUAACUUAUAUAUAUCAUACCAUAACUUAAAAUAACUCACAUAACUUAACUUAAUAACUUAUAUAUAUCAUACUAUAAUUUACAUAACUCACAUAACUUACAUAACUUAAUAACUUAUAUAUAUCAUAUCAUAACUUACAUAACUCAGAGAACUUACAUAAGUUACAUAACUUAAUUAUACUUAUAAAUAACCAUGAUUACCCGUGUAAUUUAUUGUCAACUUUAGACUUCAAUAACAACGAAAUGGACUGGUCUUGGAUGAAUUUGUCAAGGGUAAGCAACGACUAUCGAAAUGGAGUACAAAUUUUCCUAAAUUUUGUAUUCCAAAAUACAAGCCAAGAGAAUAUGAUUCUUUGCCCGUGUAAGAAGUGUGGCAACAUCAAUUGGCAUUUUCGUGAAGUUGUCUAUGAGCAUCUAAUUGCCGAUGGGUUUCUUCGGGGGUAUAAAGAAUGGAUUUUCCAUGGAGAAUGCACACCUAGUACUUCCUCUUCAACGAUUAAUCUGGCUCAUCCUCAUAGUGCUUACCAUCGGUCUGUCAGAGAAGAUAACAUGGAAGGUCUGUUUCGAGAUGCAUUUACUAUGCGCAAUCAUGGUUUGCAAUCAUUUUCACCCGACUUUGUUGUAUCCGAUGAUUGUAAUAUCGGUAGAAAUGCUUUUACCCAAACGGAAGAAGUAUACCUAAUGAAUAGCCAAAUGGAGAUGCGGAAAAGUUCUACACGCUGCUUAAUGAAAUGAAUGAAGAACUUUAUGAGGGAUCAAAAUUUUCAAAAAUGUCCUUCUGUAUUUGUCUUUUUCAGUUAAAGUGUUUGGGAGGGUGGACUGGAAACUCUUUGACAAUGCUGUUAAAGUUUUUGAGAGAGAUGUUUCUGUUUGCAAAAACCUCUCAUUCAUGCAAAGAUAUGAAGAAACUGAUAAAAGAUUUAGGCCUUGGGUACAACAAAAUUCAUAGUUGCUCAAAUAACUGCAUGUUGUAUUGGGGUGAUCGGAAAAACCAACAGUGUUGUCAUGUAUGCGGCCAAUCCCAUUGGAUAAAUAGAAACAAAAAAGAUGGGAAUGACGAUGAAAAUGAUGUACAGUAAAGAAAGAAGCUAAUUAAGAUUUUACGAUAUUUUCCGCUACUACUAAGGCUUCAAAGGCUUUUCACGUCGUCGAAGAUAGCCGAGUCUAUGACGUGGCACCAUGAUGGACGAACCAAUGAUGGAUUAUUAAGGAAUCCGGUGGAUUCUUUAGCUUGGAAAUCAUUUGACAGUAAAUUUCCAAGCUUUUCAAGCGAUCCUAGGAGUGUGAGGCUUGGGCUAGCAUCUGAUGGAUUUAAUCCUUACAAAAUCAUGAGCACUGCGUACAGUACUUGGCCUGUAGUGCUUGUUCCUUACAAUUUGCCUCCAUGGAUUUGUAUGAAGCAAUCUUCCUUUUUCUUAUCUAUGAUUAUCCCUGGAAAGAAAGGUCCCGGAAAUGAUAUUGACAUUUAUUUGCAGCCACUUAUUGAAGAGUUAAAAUAAUUAUGGGCUGGUGUUGAGACAUAUGAUGUACUGAGAAAGGAGAACUUUAAUUUACGUGCAGCUUUGAUGUGGACUAUUAAUGACUUCUUAGCUUAUGCCAAUUUAUCUGAUUGGAGUACCAAGGGACGUUAUGCUUGUCCUUGUUGUGCUGCGCAAACAUGUUCGCAAUGGUUAUAUAAUGGGAAGAAGUACUCUUACAUAGGACAUUGUCGGUGGUUACCGGGAAAUCAUAGAUUUAGAUUUUAGAGUACUCUGUUUGACGGUACUGAAAAGUUCAGAGAAGCUCCUUCGCAGACCGAUGGAUCUGAAAUCUUGUUCAUGUUGAAAGAUAUGAAUUUCAGUUAUGGGAAGAUGAAUCAACCACCCAACACGCAAAGAAAUAGAAGAUCAAGAGAUGAAUCUGAUGAUGAAGAGGAUGAAGAGGAUGAUCCUAAUGAGGCGGACUUGUGGAAAAAAAGAAGUAUUUUUUUGAGUUGCCUUAUUGGGAGCAUCACAUUUUACGACACAAUCUUGAUGUCAUGCACAUUAAGAAAAAUGUCUGCGAGAACAUCAUUGGGACAAUUUUGAAUGUCGAUGGAAAAUCGAAAGACAAUCUUCAGAGUCGACUUGAUUUAGUCCACAUGGGAAUUCGGCGUGAUCUUCAUCCCCAAGCACUUCCGAAUGGGAAAUAUCGGUUGUCGCCUUCUGUUUUUUCAAUGUCGAAGACGGAGAAAGAAGCGUUCUGCAUGGUGUUGAAGGAUAUAAAGGUCUCAGAUACGUAUGCAUUAAAUAUAUCUCGAUGUGUGAGUAUUAAAGAUCGAAGACUAUAUGCCUUAAAAUCACAUGACUAUCACAUCUUGAUGCAAGAUUUACUGCCAGUUGCUAUGCGGUGUUGUAUGUCGAAAAAGGUGACGUCUGGUAUAAUUGAACUAUCCAAUAUAAUGAAAGCCAUUUGUGGCAAAGUUUUGGAUGUUCAAGAACUUGAGACACUACAAGAUCGAGCCGCAUUGACUUUAUGCAAUUUGGAGAAGAUCUUCCCACCUUCUUUCUUCACUAUAAUGGUGCACUUGCUAAUCUAUCUCCCUCAUGAAACAAUACUUGGUGGACCCAUUUUCUAUCGAUGGAUGUAUCCCAUAGAAAUGUGUUAAUUUAUUUGUAAAUUAUUCAUUCAUUCACCUCUAUGCCUUUAGUUACAACUUUUGAUAAUGUUGUAUAUCGUAUUUAGGUUUCUAUCCAAAUUGAAGUCUUAUUGCCGCAAUAAGCGUUAUCCAGAAGACUCAAUUGCUGAAGGCUACUUGGCUGAGGAGUGUAUGACUUUCUGUUCUAGAUAUUUGGAAGAUGUUGAAACAAGAAUAAACAAACCAAGUAGAAAUGAUGGGCUCACUGAUCAUAACUUGGCCAAAACUUAUUUAUUUCAAAGUUAUAGAGAACUAAUCGGCAAAGUUGAAAUUUCAGAAUUAGAUGAUAGAUCGUGGCUACAAGUACAUCGAUAUGGUCUUUUUCACCAUGAUUCAAUGGAACCAUUACGCAAGUAAGUUCUAGAAUUUGAUAAAUAUUCAUCAAUUACAAUUUGUUUAUCUUCUAACAAAGUAAACAUCUUUUUAACAUAGUGAGUACAAACAAAUCUUGAGAUCUCAUCCACGCUCCCGAAGAUUACAACAUCGAGAGAUUAAUAAGUUAUUCACAAAAUCUUUUCAUGAAUGGUUAAGCCAAACAGUAUGCAAUUGAAGCUUUCAUUGACAAAUAAUAAUAUUUUCUCAUAACAUUUAUAAUUACUCAAUUUACCUUCGAUUCAAUAGGUUUGGAGUGGGAAUGACGUAAAUGACGAAGUUAAAUGGCUUUCUCAAGGUCCGAAUAGAGUAGUAAAAAGAUAUAGUGCCUUCCUCAUCAAUGGAUUCCGAUUUCAAGCAAAAUAUCGGGAGAGAUUGAGGAGAACUCAAAAUUGUGGAAUAGUUGUUAAUUCUUCUAUUACAAGUUAUGCUAGUGCAAGGGACAGUAAUCCUGUUGAGGGAAAUGUGGAGUAUUACGGACUUCUUACUGACAUUAUUGAGUUGGAUUACUAUGGCAAAUGGAAAGUUGUCUUAUUUCGAUGUGAUUGGGCUAACGUUAAUACUGCUCGUGGAAUUAAAUAAGAUCAAUUUGGUUUUACAAUGGUGAAUUUCUCUCGAUUGAUUCACAUUGGACAACAAUUGAUAAAUGAGUUGUAUGUAUUUUCUUCUUAAGUGAAACAAGUUUUUUACUCAAAAGAUCCAACUGAUAAGGGUUGGUACGUUGUACUCCGUAACAUCCCUAGAGACUUGUUUGACAUGGGCAAUGGAAGUAGAGAUGACAUCGACGAUAGAUCAGAAACUUUACCUUUUUCAGAACAAAACUUAAAUGAAAAUAUCCCUAGUACUAGUACACAAUUUCAAUGGGUUCGUCAAGAUGUUGAUGAAGAUAUUUACGAAUUAUGAUGUAGUAAGAUUUUACGAUUUUUUAAUUAUAUGUAAGAUUAUAAUUUAAAUAUUGGUCUUAUUAAAUAUUUCAACUAUUUUAUAUGUGUUGUUAUUGUUCUAAUUAGUUACUAAAAUUUCAACUAUUUUAUGUGUAUUGCAGAUAAAAUGCCUAGAAGAAGAUUGUGAGAUCUAAGUAUUGUUCAAAAUACUCCAAACUCGGAAGAAACAAAUAGUGAACAACUGACUGCUAUUGGAUCUUCGAAUGUUCCGAAUACACCUAACGAACUUGCAGAAUUUCAAAGUAUGUUUAAAUUUAAUUUACAUGCGUAAUGACUUUUAUUAUUGAUUUCUUUUUCAAAUUCUUAUAUUAUAAUAUAUCAUUUUUCAGCUGAAAGUGUGGGACGCGCAGUGGUCGAAGACAUACACUACUUAAAGAUUUAUACGAGUUAGAUCCUGUCGAGCGUGUCAAAGUAUGUAGAAACAGUUUUGGUCAGCCUGUUGGAUCAGAAGCUCGGCUUUUAGCAGAUAUUUGGGCAUUAUAGCACGAAAUGCCAAUAUGUUGCCUAUCAACUACGAGUCAUGGCAUCAAAUGUCAAUAUUAAGGUAACAAAACCUUAAUGUAAUUUAUAAUACUUUGGUUUAAGUUUCAUUUAUAUUACUUUCUAAACUUGUGUUUUUUGUAGGCGAUGUUUGCUUUAGAGGUCUCGGAUAAUUAUGUCAAGAAGGCAUUGGGAAAAAGGUGGAGAGACCAUAAAAUUACUUUAAAGAAAGAAAAUUUUUAAGACAAAAACAACCCUCGAAGAGAAAUUGCGAAAUGUCCCGCUGGGAAUGUUGAGGUACCAAUGGAAAGAUGCGGUUAGAUUUUGGAAUUCAAAGAAAUGAGAGGUAUUACGUACUUCCAAACUCUUAUAACUAUUUCGGUUUAUAGUAUUUACUAUAUACGUAAUAAUAAUUUCAUAAUGUGGGAUCGUGAACGAGUUGGAACAAGCAGCAGGCAAAAACAGAAAUUCACUCACAUAGCUGGGUCGAAAAGUUUUGUUUGUGUAGUUGAGGCCGAGAUUUUUUGAAUUUAUAAAUAGUGUAAAAUAUUUAUUACUUUCCAUUAAAUAAUAUUUUUACUACUAUAUUGUAGGAACUGUCGUCUGGUCAAAAAGUUAGACGCCUUCAACUUUUUGACAUUACAUAUGGGAAGAAAAAUGGAUCUCCUAUGACUUCUGAAGCUGCAGAAAUUAUGGUAUGUUUAGUUAAUAAAAUUUUAAUUAUUUUAAAUAUUUAUAGUGUUUAAUUAUAAUGGUUUAAUUCAUCGUUUGUAAUGCAAAUAAUGUUAAGUUAUGUUGCAUUUGUUUUUAUUAUAUAUUUCGUUUCUAACUCUUUGAUUAAUUUAUUAGAAGAAACUAAAGGAUAAAAAGGCAGAGUAUGAAGCGAUUACUUCGAGUGAUAGUUUUGUUAAUGCUCACGAAAUUGAUAAUCGGGUUAUUACUGAAGUUUUGGGUCCUGAAGGGUAUGGACAGGUUCGAUUUCAAGGAUCUUUUGUUAAUCCAACCCAAUAUUUUGGAUCCAGCUCGCAGCAAUACAUGCUUUCGGGGAGUCAAGCUCAAGUUGAAAUUCAGAGGUUAAGAGACCAGAUGACUCAGAUGCAAGCGAACACAGUUGAGCUAAUUACUCAACUUAAAGCGAAUGCAGCAUCGAGAGAAGCUGAGGUUCAAAGAAAAAAUGAAGAACUCAAGCUACAACUUAAAGAAGAGGUAGCAGCGAGGGAAGCAGAGCAGAGCAGAAAGUACGACGCACUCUAACUACAGCUUCAGAAUAUGAUGAAGAUGUUUCAGCAGUCGCAAAAUCUGCCAUCUUAGACUAUUGUAUGAAUAUUUUUAACAUUUUAGCUUUUAACAUUAUUGUAUUAUACUUCAUUUAUCAAUUUAUAUCAUAUAUCAUUCGUUGAAUUUGAAGUAUCAUUUAGGUUGCUGUUUUUGGUUGGUUUCUAUGUUACAGGAAGGGUUGCAUAUGGAUGAAAAUUGGAUGUUAGAAAUCUGCCAAAAUUAGUGGCGUUUUCAAUAAAAGCGCCGCUAAAGAAUAUGACAUUUAGCGUCGUUUUCUAUAAAAGCGCCGCUAAAGAACAUGACCUUUAGCGGCGUUUCUUAUAAAAGCCCCGCUAAAGAAUAUGACAUUUAGCGGCGUUUGCUAUAAAGGCGCCGCUAAAGAACAUGACCUUUAGCGGCGUUUGCUAUAAAAGCGGCGAUAAAGAACAUGACCUUUAGUGGCGCUUAUCUUUAAACGCCGUUAGAGGUUAUGAUCUUUAGUGGUGUUUGUGGUAAAAACGCCGCUAAAUAUCAUGUUCUUUAGCGGCAUUUAUGUGAGAAAAAAGUCACAAAAAAUAACGGCAUGGUCUAUAGCGGCAUUUUUUGCGGCUCUUGUGAAAGUGCCGCAAAUACUUUUAGCGGCGCUUAUAGGCCUAAAAAAUGCCGCUGAAAGCCUAUUUUGCUGUAUUGUUAGUUUGUUAAGUUUACUCUGGAUUAUACCAAUUUUUAAUUUAUUUAUACUUAUAAUUGUUUGAUUCUAUUUUAUGAUUACUCGAAUAAUUUUUAUUGUAAUAAUUUAAUAUUUAUAAUCACUCAAACAUAUAUUUAUAUUGUAGUUUAAAUACUUAAAAAAAUUUUCAAAUCAAAAUUUGCUACCCUCUUCCUUUUCCCACACAGAUAGGUAAUUCCUUUUCUAUUUUCUUUUUCUUUUUAUUAUAUUAAUACAUUCUAAAUAAACUAAAUAUUUUAUAUAUAUAUAAUACAAGCUCAAUUCAACAACUUAUAUUUACUGGUUUAGAUAAUAUAGUUGAUAAGUUUUAACCAAAACACCCAACUGAGAAAUUUUUGUCAAAAUAUGCCUUAAAUUUUCACAAAAAAUAAAUCAAAUAACGGGAGGAUGAAAAUGAAUUUAGGUUAGAAUAAAUUUAAAUAUAACCAACUCAUGAUUUAAGUAUUGUUGUAGGAAUUAGAUCGGAUCAACUGAUUGGUAUAUUGAUCCAAACAAAAAAAUUCAAUCUAUUUUUGAGCAAACACUUAGAAUCAAUUGAACUGGGGCAGAAAUCAAUUGUAUCGAUUUUAUAAUUUUUAAAGAAUUUUUUUUAUAUUUUUAUAAUUUUAUGACUUAAUAAUUUAUUUAAUUAAAACCAAAUCGACGAUGAAACCAAAAAUCGAUGUUGGUGUGGUUUUUAAAAUCAUAGAUUUAAGUACUUAUGACAUCAUGUUCUCAAAAACUCAAACCUUUAUCAACAUAUAGAAUCGAAUCGAAUAGCGUUUUCAUCUCCCAAGUUUCUAUACAUAAACUAUGAACACUGAAUUAAACAAUACAAAAAUGGUAUUCUUCUUCCACUGACAUUUGAUAUCGGCUUCAGAAAAGGCAAAAGACAAGAAUAAAGAGAUAAAACAAAAGAUUAAAUCAAUCCUAUAUCCUUGACUGACAUAAUUUACCUUAAAAACUCUAUAUUUUAACCAAUCCCACCUAUAUGAUUUUUCUGUUUUCCUAUACAUAAAUUAAAGCUUACUUGGAACCAAGUCAUUGUAUUGUAUUUCACGUAAUUGUUUGAAGCAGAUCCUCAUCUCCUCCAUCUGCAUUGAAGGAAUAGAUGUCGACCGGGGCCAUCGUGCAACCCAUGGCGUUCUGCUUGGUUCUUUUAUUACGGGAGGAGCCUCGGUGUUUGUCUAGAUAGAUUACAAUCACGGUGAUAUCGUCGUGAAAAUGGCGCCUUAUCCCCUUUUCGAUUUUCUUGAUGUCACUGUAUCUCAUCUCCCUUUUCUUUGCAACUUCUUGAAGUGCAGCUCUUACCAAUCUCUUGGCAAUACCCUGCAAGCAUUCAAGCAAACAAAUAUCAAUACCGAAAUGCGUUGCAUUUCCAUACGUUUCAUUAGGUUAAUGGAAGAACACGAAUACUCACGGCUCUCGGGUUUUUGAAAACGAUGUUUACAGCAGCUUCAUCACUCAACUGCUCCCAUAGGCCGUCUGAUGCAAAGAUGAGGAAUUGAUCCUGGGGCUUCAGCUUUCUAAUAAGGAUCGAGGGUUCUGCUGUAAUAACCGGCCUUUUAAGAGGAACGGGGUUUCCGAACUGCUGGAAGAUCGGAUCUCUAUAAAACUCAGGUUUCUUCAGGUAAACAUCACCUAUAGAUCUUGACACCUGAAAUAAGACGAACAAAAAUGGCUCAGACCAGCAUGACCACUCACAUGCUCAAAGAUCAUGUAUUAAUCAAUCAUCUCCAGUUCUACAAUCCAAUGUACGAUAAAAGCUAAUGCAUCUUAUUCUCUCGAUACUGAACGGAUCGAAGUAUAAAGCUCAACUUGCCUACUAAAGUAAAGGGGAACAACAUCACAAAAAGAGAAGAAAAACAUAAAAACGAGAGAGCAAUGAUUCCCUGCAGUUACAUAAGCCUAGCUUUAUGCUUCAGGGGCCUGCAUUUGUCCAUCUCAUGCAUACAACGCAUACUAUAUGGAAAAUAGCAGCAUGAAACAGUACUGGAAAUCAGACCAAAAUAUUCUUGGAAAAGUCGAAAAACUCAGAAUUAUAACCAUUUUUUAGAAUGAACUUUCAUUCUAAUGCACAAUGUAUACAUCCAUAAUUAUAUUAUACCUCUCCAUCAAGCAAAAAGAAACAAAUGGGUUGCAAGCAAUGCCUACGAAGAGGAAGUUAAUUGGCAACUAUUUCUAGAAUCAACACAUUGAUCAUUCCUCAAGCAGACUAGUUUUGAACUAAACGAUUAUAAAUCAACUUGUCAAUAAAAUUGUACCUGGAUUAUGCCCUUAAUCCUCCAAACUCCGUGGGUGUAAACCACUAUAUGUGAGUCAUCUGGAUGAAGUUCCUCGACCUCCUUUCGAACUUCCUCAACUCCAACAUUAUGAUCAGUUGACAACCUCUCUGCCACUACUGUGUUUUCCUUAUCCCCCGAAGCUUUCCUGCCAAGAACAGCUCUCGAGUCACCGAGAUUUGCCACGUAUAACACAUCAUUCGAAAUUGCACCAACUAGACAGCAUGAUCCAACCGAAGCAAUUUGAGGCCUCACAGGCAAUGAUCGCUUCACCAAACGCAAAAACUCCUCUUCAGUGGCAUUGAAUGCCUUCUUUAUCACAUCUGCAGAUAAUCCCCCUUGUUCUGUAGCAAAUUCUACAAUGAAUAAAGAAAAAAAAAUUAAGGGUCUCCAUCAAUCUUUUUUAGAAUCCAAGUGCAUGCUUAUCACUGAAAAGGAUGCAAAACAAAGAAAAAUAAAUGACCUGAAAAAUGCCAAAACUUGAACUACACUUACUAAUUAUUCUGAAAAAUUCAAGUCCAAACAACCCCAAGUAGAUACAAAUUUAGACAAAUAGUUCAUAUUCUCUUUUCCCAUCAAAACAGACAUAGUACUACAUGACUAUGGAGCGGGGCAAGAUAGAUAUUGUCAAAUUCAUUACUGUUCCAUUGUUGGCAUGAUCUGCCUCGACCCCACUCUGCUUCGCCGUAAAUGUUAAAACUUGAAUAUCAUUACUUUUAAUAUGCAUAAUCUAUCAAUACCUCACCUAAUAUAUACAUUUUUACUCGUUUUAAAAGCUAAAUAAAUAAGAAUAAGGCAAAUAUCAAAAUUAAGUGCCCCAUAGGUCCCUCUUUUACUGUUAAAAAUUAGAAAAAGAAAGUCUAUUUGGAGUCAUCAGUUCGAAAUCUAUCAAACUAAAUACAUAUUUGAUGAUUCCAUAGACAGCUUAUGAUUUUCCUGACAAGGUCGUAUCCAUAUACAUACAUGAUCACAUGUUCAUUCAUGUCAUACAUACAUACAUACAUACAUACAUACAUACAUACAUACAUACAUACAUACAGAAUAGAAUGGGAAAAAAGGAAUGUUGCAAUAAAGAGGGAAAAAGGGAAUUACUGUGGAGAAAAGGGAAGAGAUGUUUGUUAACAAAACGGGAAGCUUCGGGACCGCCAUGACCAUCGUAGACGCCAACGUAGGUAGCAAAAGGAGAGGCCAAGACUUGGCUUUGAUCUUCGAGGCAGUUGUUAGCCUGCACGACGGCGAUGGAGAAAUCACCGGAAGCGUGGGGUUUAAGGUCAGCGUGCCACAUGAGAGCAUCCCCACCAGCUCUAACGCCAAGACAACGUUCGAGCGGCCUGGAAAGGGAACGUAACAUCAUCAUCAUCGUGUUUAAAAAAUAAUAAUAAUCCCUUUAUAGGGAAUUUGAUUAAAUGAAAACCUCUUCGAUGGUUUCAAUGGGGGGUUUCACUUUGGGGGAAGAGGAAAAUGGGAAGAUAUUAAGAGGGAAAGAGAGAGUAGAAAGUGGGGUAAAGUGAAUGGAAAAGAAAUGCCGCGUAAAGAGAGGAAGAUGAUGAUGACCAACGACCCCCGAUACUUGCUGUAAUUACUUCCCACUCUACGCGUUAACUAAUACCCUUUUUCUUCUUUUUUGACUUUUAAACCCAAAUCCUUUUUUUAUUUUUAAUUUAUUGAACGGAGAAGGUUAGGUCUAAUUUAAUAUUUCAAUUUUUAAAGAAUCGGAUCGGUGGUUGAAUUAUUCUCGAUUUAAUCUGUUAAUUUAGUUUAACUUAGAUUUGUUCAGGUGGUUCGAUUUGAAGAUUUGUUCGAAAGAGGAGAGAAUUUGGAUAAAAAUAUAAGCUUAAAAAAUAAAUUUUAAUAAAAAAAAUAAGGUACAUUUUUUAAAUGGGUCUCAAUAGAUCCAAACAAGAUAUACAAAUUUCUAAUAGAUCAGAUAAA